rnacentral:rRNA from 1 species
UNANACAUGCAGUNNANGNUAGCAGGAAGGAAGCUUGCUUUCUUUGCUGACGAGUGGCGGACGGGUGAGUAAUGCUUGGGAAUCUGGCUUAUGGAGGGGGAUAACUGCGGGAAACUGCAGCUAAUACCGCGUAAAGUCUUUGGACUAAAGGGGGCGUUUGCUCUUGCCAUAAGAUGAGCCCAAGUGGGAUUAGGUAGUUGGUGGGGUAAUGGCUCACCAAGCCGUCGAUCUCUAGCUGGUCUGAGAGGAUGACCAGCCACACCGGGACUGAGACACGGCCCGGACUCCUACGGGAGGCAGCAGUGGGGAAUAUUGCGCAAUGGGGGGAACCCUGACGCAGCCAUGCCGCGUGAAUGAAGAAGGCCUUCGGGUUGUAAAGUUCUUUCGGUGAUGAGGAAGGCAGUUUGGUUAAUAGCCAAGCUGAUUGACGUUAGUCACAGAAGAAGCACCGGCUAACUCCGUGCCAGCAGCCGCGGUAAUACGGAGGGUGCGAGCGUUAAUCGGAAUAACUGGGCGUAAAGGGCACGCAGGCGGAUUUUUAAGUGAGGUGUGAAAGCCCCGGGCUUAACCUGGGAAUUGCAUUUCAGACUGGGAAUCUAGAGUACUUUAGGGAGGGGUAGAAUUCCACGUGUAGCGGUGAAAUGCGUAGAGAUGUGGAGGAAUACCGAAGGCGAAGGCAGCCCCUUGGGAAUGUACUGACGCUCAUGUGCGAAAGCGUGGGGAGCAAACAGGAUUAGAUACCCUGGUAGUCCACGCUGUAAACGCUGUCGAUUUGGGGGUUGGGGUUUAACUCUGACGCCCGUAGCUAACGUGAUAAAUCGACCGCCUGGGGAGUACGGCCGCAAGGUUAAAACUCAAAUGAAUUGACGGGGGCCCGCACAAGCGGUGGAGCAUGUGGUUUAAUUCGAUGCAACGCGAAGAACCUUACCUACUCUUGACAUCCAGAGAAUCCUGUAGAGAUACGGGAGUGCCUUCGGGAGCUUUGAGACAGGUGCUGCAUGGCUGUCGUCAGCUCGUGUUGUGAAAUGUUGGGUUAAGUCCCGCAACGAGCGCAACCCUUAUCCUUUGUUGCCAGCGAUACGGUCGGGAAC